rnacentral:rRNA from 1 species
CAGCGCCGCGGUAAUACAGAGGGUGCGAGCGUUAAUCGGAUUUACUGGGCGUAAAGCGUGCGUAGGCGGCUUUUUAAGUCGGAUGUGAAAUCCCUGAGCUUAACUUAGGAAUUGCAUUCGAUACUGGGAAGCUAGAGUAUGGGAGAGGAUGGUAGAAUUCCAGGUGUAGCGGUGAAAUGCGUAGAGAUCUGGAGGAAUACCGAUGGCGAAGGCAGCCAUCUGGCCUAAUACUGACGCUGAGGUACGAAAGCAUGGGGAGCAAACAGGAUUAGAUACCCGCGUAGUCCCUGUCUCUUAUACA